AUACUUAUCUGGCAGCAGAGGAGAUACCAUGUUCACGAAAGUGGUUUUCCAAGGGCCAGGUUUAUCCAUUGCACUCUGGAUGUGCUGAUCCCCAUGAAUUGCCCGUAUGUGGGAAACUUGACUGCGUAAUUUGUGUAGUGAGGGAUUGCGUUCACGCUUUCCCUUG
ensembl:snRNA U1 U1 spliceosomal RNA